GACGUAGGGGGCAAGCGUUAUCCGGAUUCACUGGGCGUAAAGGGCGCGUAGGCGGUUAUGUAAGUCCGGCGUGAAAUCCCAGGGCUCAACUCUGGAACUGCGUCGGAUACUGCAUUGACUUGAGGAUGGUAGAGGCUCGUGGAACUAGCGGUGUAGCGGUGAAAUGCGCAGAUAUCGCUAGGAACGCCGGUGGCGAAGGCGACGGGCUGGGCCACUCCUGACGCUGAGGCGCGAAAGCCAGGGGAGCGAACCGGAUUAGAAACCCCCGUAGUCC
rnacentral:rRNA from 1 species